GAAAUGCGAUAAGUAAUGUGAAUUGCAGAAUUCCGUGAAUCAUCGAAUCUUUGAACGCACAUUGCGCCCCCUGGCAUUCCGGGGGGCAUGCCUGUCCGAGCGUCAUUUCUGCCCUCAAGCACGGCUUGUGUGUUGGGUGUGGUCCCCCCGGGACCUGCCCGAAAGGCAGCGGCGACGUCCGUCUGGUCCUCGAGCGUAUGGGGCUCUGUCACUCGCUCGGGAAGGACCUGCGGGGGUUGGUCACCACCAUAUUUCACCACGGUUGACCUCGGAUCAGGUAGGAGUUACCCGCUGAACUUAAGC
rnacentral:misc_RNA from 1 species